rnacentral:rRNA from 1 species
CCUACGGGAGGCAGCAGUGAGGAAUAUUGGUCAAUGGACGAGAGUCUGAACCAGCCAAGUAGCGUGAAGGAUGACUGCCCUAUGGGUUGUAAACCUCUUUUAUAAAGGAAUAAAACGAGGCACGCGUGCCUUUUUGCAUGUACCUUAUGAAUAAGGAUCGGCUAACUCCGUGCCAGCAGCCGCGGUAAUACGGAGGAUCCGAGCGUUAUCCGGAUUUAUUGGGUUUAAAGGGAGCGUAGAUGGGUUGUUAAGUCAGUUGUGAAAGUUUGCGGCGCAACCGUAAAAUUGCAAUUGAUACUGGCAGUCGUGAGUAGAGGUGAGGUAAGCGGAAUUCGUGGUGUAGCGGUGAAAUGCUUAGAUAUCGCGAAGAACCCCGAUUGCGAAGGCAGCUUACUAGACUGUGACUGACAUUGAUGCUCGAAAGUGUGGGUAUCGAACAGGAUUAGAUACCCCAGUAGUC